AGAAUCCCUUUUUUGGAGAGUCAGAGAGAAAAGCAAAAAAAACAGCAUGAGGAAUUUGAAGACUGAGAGAUGAGUUGUGUAGCACCAACAUUUUCUUUCUGCCUGACCUUCAUACCUGAUGAAUUAAAAGAGGCUGAGCUGGAAUGGCUUCUUCAUCAUUAAGGGCUGACCUAUUGGCUUGGCAUUGAAAUCAAUUUAGAACAAAUGGUCUCCAUUUCAAGUCAGCUUGAACCAUCUAAGCCCCAGAACAUGACACAGAAAAAAAGAAGCAGUAAGCUGCCCCUUCUACCAAUGUCUAAGAUGAAUGGGAAAAAUGCAUAUAAAUGGAAUUUUUCUUUUAC
rnacentral:sRNA from 1 species